GGGCGAUUAGCUCAGUUGGAUAGAGCGUUAGCCUCCGAAGCUAAAGGCCGCGCGUUCGAAUCGCGUAUCGCCCACCA
rnacentral:tRNA from 1 species